CUAGACGAGCAAAUUGGAAAGUGGUGGGGACGCUUCGAGCUCCCCAACUUCUGAAGCCAUGGCCGGGUCGACGGAAAGAAAAUUAAAAUUAUUUACACGGGACUAGCUAGAGCGAUCGAUAGUCACUAGCUAGGCAGCCGAGCCGAGGUGGCCGUCGUCGAAGUUCAGGGAGUAGCUCUGCAGGUCGUAGCCGAACCUCGGGGCGCCGCCCCUCGGCCGCCGCAUCACGGCGUUCUUCCAGCUGGACCUCAUCCUCCAGAACAGCUGCCUCACCGGCGCUGGCGCACGGCGUGCUACCGGCAGCUCCCAGAGGCGC